rnacentral:rRNA from 1 species
CUUGCACCUGGUGGCGAGUGGUGAACGGGUGAGUAAUACAUCGGAACGUACCUUAUCGUGGGGGAUAACGCAGCGAAAGCUGUGCUAAUACCGCAUACGCCCUGAGGGGGAAAGCGGGGGAUCGAAAGACCUCGCGCGAUUAGAGCGGCCGAUGCCUGAUUAGCUUGUUGGUGGGGUAAAAGCCCACCAAGGCGACGAUCAGUAGCUGGUCUGAGAGGACGAUCAGCCACACUGGGACUGAGACACGGCCCAGACUCCUACGGGAGGCAGCAGUGGGGAAUUUUGGACAAUGGGGGAAACCCUGAUCCAGCAAUGCCGCGUGAGUGAAGAAGGCCUUCGGGUUGUAAAGCUCUUUUGUCAGGGAAGAAACACCGGCUCUAACACAGUCCGGGAAUGACGGUACCUGAAGAAUAAGCACCGGCUAACUACGUGCCAGCAGCCGCGGUAAUACGUAGGGUGCGAGCGUUAAUCGGAAUUACUGGGCGUAAAGCGUGCGCAGGCGGUUAUACAAGACAGGCGUGAAAUCCCCGGGCUUAACCUGGGAAUGGCGCCUGUGACUGUAUAGCUAGAGUGUGUCAGAGGGGGGUAGAAUUCCACGUGUAGCAGUGAAAUGCGUAGAUAUGUGGAGGAAUACCAAUGGCGAAGGCAGCCCCCUGGGAUAACACUGACGCUCAUGCACGAAAGCGUGGGGAGCAAACAG